GAUGAACGCUGGCGGCGUGCCUAAUACAUGCAAGUCGAGCGAACAGACGAGGAGCUUGCUCCUCUGACGCUAGCGGCGGACGGGUGAGUAACACGUGGAUAACCUACCUAUAAGACUGGGAUAACUUCGGGAAACCGGAGCUAAUACCGGAUAAUAUAUUGAACCGCAUGGUUCAUUAGUGAAAGACGGAUUUGCUGUCACUUAUAGAUGGUUCCGCGCCGCAUUAGCUAGUUGGUAAGGUAACGGCUUACCAAGGCAACGAUGCGUAGCCGACCUGAGAGGGUGAUCGGCCACACUGGAACUGAGACACGGUCCAGACUCCUACGGGAGGCAGCAGUAGGGAAUCUUCCGCAAUGGGCGAAAGCUUGACGGAGCAACGCCGCGUGAGUGAUGAAGGUCUUCGGAUCGUAAAACUCUGUUAUUAGGGAAGAACAAAUGUGUAAGUAACUAUGCACGUCUUGACGGUACCUAAUCAGAAAGCCACGGCUAACUACGUG
rnacentral:rRNA from 1 species